rnacentral:lncRNA from 1 species
UUACUGUUAUUUGGACCAGCAUAUAAAACAAUAAAACACAUUCGGGUUACUGUCAGCCAUAAAAAAAACUAUUUGAAAACCACUCAAUUUAAACCCAUUAGUAUGACGGUACUAAUUUAGGGUACCAAUUUACAAAGUGAUAUAGGCUUUGUUGGGGAAAAAUUAGGUUUUUAAAUUUUUAUAAAACCUUUUGAAGAUCGCUCUCAUAUAAUAUAUAAGAAUUUGUAUUCUAGAAAUUGUACCUUGAAAAUCCGAGUUGGCUUUUUCCGCUGAAGUGAUUUAGGCUCCCAGAUCACGAUCCGUCACCACACAUUUUAUAUCACCCUUUAGUGAAAAUCCUAGGCUCCAAGAAUGCUCAAAAUAAAACUCACGUUGUUUUCUUUUUCAAUAGGGGACCCACCUUGUAAAAUAACAUAAGGCCCCUUACACAUAAGCUUAUUAAAUGGAGCCUCCCACUAAAUGAUAUAUUUAGGCUUUUGACCCAAAUAGCUAGUUAUCUUGCUUAUUAGUCCAGUAGUGGUGCAGUCAAUUAAAUGAGCUAACCCGGGGAUCAUUUGGGAACAUACAAUAGUGGCUACAAUAAUUAGGCCUGUAAUUAAACUAGCCCAAUUAUUUAAUUCCAAAUCAACUCCACUAAAAGAUUGGAACUGACUUCCAUAAUUAUAUGCUCGAGUAAUAAUUCGUCCCAAGCCACAUUGAUUUCUUUACUGCACAAUCCUUCUGCUGUACCGUACAUCCGCCUUGGCCGUACAGCAGUCUCACACUUGUACUCUCACAAUUUGAUGAGAAAUAAAAAAUACAACAAUGAAUCUCUCUUUAAGAGUGGAUAUACAAAUUGAUGAUCAAGUGCCGAAAACCUAUCAAGAGAUGUGUUGUACAAAUUCUUUAUUGUUAAUCCAUAACUCCAAUACUCAUAAUUGCUUCCACCAAGAUACCGGGUAAUCUUGACCACAAGUAUGUGUCGUGCCCAUUGGUAACUCAAAUGGAAUAACAAUUACAAUCAUGAAAUCAUAAUUAACUCAAGAUUAAGAUUACAGUAAAAUCAACGCUUAUGAGAUUUAAUAAGUCUGACAGUUAUUACAACGUUAAUUAAAUCUCAUAUGUGAUCCUGUUCAAUGUAGUCGUACUACAUUAAUAAAUUCAUACAUGAUUAAGACAAAUCAUUUAAUGAAUUUAUUACAGUCUAUACCUAAAUAAAGUGUCCAACUUUAUUUAUCAACUGCGAACUAAAUUUAUUUAAUCAUAAGAUAACUUGUAUUUAUGUCUUCUGUGAAUCCACAUGGUGAUCACAUAAAUACAUAUAAUAUGAUUAAAUGGACUUUAAUACAAAUAUUAAUGCAAUUAAGAUAUUUGAAUAAAAUACCUCAUUUAUUUUAUUAAUCAGAAAAAUUAUUUAUUACAAUUAAAUAAACACAUAUGCUUUUAAAGAGCAUAUUUUCCCAACAGGCUUACCAUGGCAAGGUGCAUAUCAUUCAGCCAACAACAGGCGGUUUGCUCACCCGGCCGAUUGCAUCCACCCAAACCCAAACCCUAUCACAUCUGAAUUCCCUAGUCACCGGAGUUCCAAGCAUUAGUAUGAUUGGAUUCACGAUGG